rnacentral:tRNA from 1 species
GCCUCGGUAGAGCAGUAGCAGCGCGUCAGUCUCAUAAUCUGAAUGUCGUGAGUUCGAACCUCUCCCGGGGCA